UGUCUCCUCCACCCUCCUCCUUUGGUGGAUUAAACCCAAGCACCUCACAGUGCUUGGGUUUUUUUUA
rnacentral:ncRNA from 21 species